rnacentral:tRNA from 1 species
GGGCGUGUGGUGUAGUGGUAUCACGUCUGCUUUGCAUGCAGAAGGCCCCGGGUUCAAACCCCGGCAUGUCCA